GCCCUGCGGCCCGUGGUGGCAGCGGUCCCCGGGUGGGUGGCGCGGUCUCCAGCCCAGAGAUGAUCCUCCAGUUUCCAAGGGCCCAAGGACCCUGAAUCGUUCAAGAGGAAGUCCCUGCCUUGGGAAGCUCAUAGCCUAGGAUGUGAGCCCGGCAGGACAUCAGAGGUGAGGUAUCUGGGCAUAGAAACAGUCAGUGGGACAAGAGUAGGAAAAAAGGACUCUUUACUCUGGUUUGGGAGUCAGGAAAUCCUUCUGACCUAGGAGCCCAGAGUCUUGGGGGCAAAAUCACACCGUAGAUAGAGGGGGAAAGGAUGUUCCAAAGGAGGGAAGGUUACAAGGAUAUAGGGGCCAGAGCGAGUGGAUCUCCUGCUUCCAUCCUUCCCUGUGGCAGGCAGAGGGCAAGGCUUGGUUGGGGAGUGGCUGCCAGGAAUAAAUCCAGUAUCCAUCUGAAAACUUGUUGUCACUUCGCCACUCUCUCCCUCAGUGGCCAGUUUAAAUCUUUUUAAAAUGGGCACCGUGUCAGCCUAGAGCAGUGGUGAUGAACCCAUGGCACACGUGUUAUUCUGUUUUUCUUUUAAGACAAAAAAUGUUAAUGUAUGAAUUGUUUUUUCUUAACUAAAACUUCAGGUUUAAUUGUUGGUACUUUGCAAUAAAUAAGUGGGUUUUGGGUUGCAGUUUGUUCUCCAUCACUGCCCUAGAGCUUGAACCAGGUAAUUCCACUAAACUUAAAGAAACAGGAUUUCACUUUCAACCCCACAUUGGUCAUGACAUCAUCCCCCCUGGAAAUCAGUGUCAGGCAGUUGAAAAUUACCUUUAGCCCACUUUGAUGUUGUUUUUGAUACUGGGGAUUGAACCACAUACCUCCAUCGAAUCACAUACCUCCAUUUUCUUUUCUUUUUGUUUUGGUACUGGGGAUGGAACUCAGGACCUUGUGCUCGGGAGGCAGGCGGCAGAACCACUGAGAGACACGGGAUCUCACUGUGUUGCCCAGGCUGGUCCUAUCCCUGGGCUCAAAGGACCCUCCUGCUUUAGCCUCCUGAAUAACUGGGACCAUAGGACUGUCAGCACCUUCUGCUCUGGAUCUGCAUCCAGGGCUGCUCUCUAGCGCCCCCAUGGGAUCCCGCCUGGCCCUGCAGGGUGGCUCUCUGCCCGCCGCAGCCUCACUUACCCGGGAAAUGACCACGAUCUGCUCCUCGGGCAGCAGGCUGACACGCAUGAAGCAGGACUCGAAGCUGG